CGGGGCGUAGCGCAGCCUGGUAGCGCACUUGCAUGGGGCGCAAGAGGUCGCAGGUUCAAAUCCUGUCGUCCCGA
rnacentral:tRNA from 1 species